UUCUAGCAGAGGAAUUUGUUCUGCUAAGAGCUCUUACUAUAAUCUUUAUUUUCUCUUUACUUAUAGGAAUUUUUGUUUGCUUCUUGGUUUGUUUUAUUUUCCCAGAGGUCAAGAUUCAAGGUGAGCUUUACGUUUUCUUUUGGACAACACAAAUGUACACACUCAGCGUGGACUGGUGCAGACCCUCACAUCCUGAUGCUAUAGGGUGGGAUACUCCGAGCUGAGCUGAAGUCACAUCUUGGUUAUUAUCCUUUGAGGACUAUGGCCCUUCCAGCCAAUCACUCACACAACAACCACCCACUGCCCAACCACCACCACCACCACUGACGAGAUGAUGCCCACAGCGGUGUUUCCAACAACAGCCAUGACUACACCUGACCUCUCAACCACAAGACCACUUCAGAUGAGAGCUGCGCUCUCAGGCAUGGCCUCCACAUGCUUUCUGACAAGCUCACUUCCUGAGGAAGACACGACACUGCUGACCCUUGAGCCUUCCACCGAAAAGCCCAUUCUCCCCGCAGAAUCAGAAAGUGUCCUCCCCAGGACCUCUCAGAGAAGCACAGAGGCGAUUUCAGGAGACACUGCCUUGCUCACAUCCAAGGCUCCAACUACAACAACAACCACUACUCCAACAACGACCACCACUACUACAACUCAAUGA
rnacentral:lncRNA from 1 species